UUGAUUAUGUAUUGAUUUUAA
rnacentral:piRNA from 1 species